AUUGAACGCUGGCGGCAUGCUUUACACAUGCAAGUCGAACGGUAGAGGGGGCAACCCCUUGAGAGUGGCGAACGGGUGAGUAAUGCAUCGGAACGUGCCCAGUCGUGGGGGAUAACGCAGCGAAAGCUGUGCUAAUACCGCAUACGAUCUCUGGAUGAAAGCGGGGGACCGAAAGGCCUCGCGCGAUUGGAGCGGCCGAUGUCAGAUUAGGUAGUUGGUGGGGUAAAGGCCUACCAAGCCAACGAUCUGUAGCUGGUCUGAGAGGACGACCAGCCACACUGGGACUGAGACACGGCCCAGACUCCUACGGGAGGCAGCAGUGGGGAAUUUUGGACAAUGGGCGCAAGCCUGAUCCAGCAAUGCCGCGUGCAGGAAGAAGGCCUUCGGGUUGUAAACUGCUUUUGUACGGAACGAAACGGUCUGGGUUAAUACCUGGGGCUAAUGACGGUACCGUAAGAAUAAGCACCGGCUAACUACGUGCCAGCCGCCGCCGUAACAC
rnacentral:rRNA from 1 species